UACGUAGGGGGCAAGCGUUGUCCGGAAUCAUUGGGCGUAAAGCGCGUGUAGGCGGCUCGGUAAGUCCGCUCUGAAAGUCCGGGGCUCAACCCCGGGAGGCGGGUGGAUACUGUCGAGCUAGAGUCCGGAAGAGGCGAGUGGAAUUCCUGGUGUAGCGGUGAAAUGCGCAGAUAUCAGGAGGAACACCAAUGGCGAAGGCAGCUCGCUGGGACGGUACUGACGCUGAGACGCGAAAGCGUGGGGAGCAAAACAGG
rnacentral:rRNA from 1 species